rnacentral:rRNA from 1 species
CAAUAGCGUAUAUUAAAGUUGUUGCAGUUUAAAAGCUCGUAGUUGGAUUUGUGGCGUACGGUGUGUUCCGGGCACUUGUUGUCUGAGUAACCUGCUGUUGCCAUCCUUGGGUGGAACCUGUGUGGCAUUAGGUUGUCGUGCAGGGGAUGCCCAUCAUUUACUGUGAAAAAAUUAGAGUGUUCAAAGCAGGCUUAUGCCGUUGAAUAUAUUAGCAUGGAAUAAUGAGAUAGGACUUUUUUGCUAUUUUGUUGGUUUGCGCAAAGAGGUAAUGAUUAAUAGGGACAGUUGGGGGUAUUCGUAUUCCAUUGUCAGAGGUGAAAUUCUUGGAUUUUUGGAAGACGAACUACUGCGAAAGCAUUUACCAAGGAUGUUUUCAUUAA